UACGUAGGGCGCAAGCGUUGUCCGGAAUUAUUGGGCGUAAAGAGCUCGUAGGCGGCCUGUUGCGUCCGCUGUGAAAUCCCGGGGCUCAACCCCGGGCCUGCAGCCGAUACGGGCAAACUAGAAUUCGGUAGGGGAGACUGGAAUUCCUGGUGUAGCGGUGAAAUGCGCAGAUAUCAGGAGGAACACCGGUGGCGAAGGCGGGUCUCUGGGCCGAUAUUGACGCUGAGGAGCGAAAGCGUGGGGAGCAAACAGG
rnacentral:rRNA from 1 species